UACGUAGGGUCCGAGCGUUGUCCGGAAUUACUGGGCGUAAAGAGCUCGUAGGUGGUUUGUCGCGUUGUUCGUGAAAACUCACAACUCAAUUGUGGGCGUGCGGGCGAUACGGGCAGACUUGAGUACUGCAGGGGAGACUGGAAUUCCUGGUGUAGCGGUGGAAUGCGCAGAUAUCAGGAGGAACACCGGUGGCGAAGGCGACUCUUUGGCCUGUAACUGACGCUGAGACGCGAAAGCGUGGGGAGCGAACAGG
rnacentral:rRNA from 1 species